rnacentral:lncRNA from 1 species
UGGUGAAGAAGAAUGAGACUGAUCAGAAGCAAUAUUAGGCAUUUAAGGAGAAAAAAUAUUUACAGAUAAUGGAGAGGGAGUAGGAGAAAGAUCUUGUGAUAUUAAGGUAGAAAACAUAAACAACUUUGUCUUGGUAGUAGAAAAAGAGAUAGGAAAUAUAUACUCAAUAAAUCUAACAUCCCUCGAAACAAAAAAACUAGUUGUUUGUGAGAUUUAAAAGUUUAUAACCCUUCUUUCCAAAGGGAUAACCUACAAAAAUAUUAGGAAGGGCUCUUGGUGCAAGUUUGUCCGUGUUUUUGGAAAGGGUGGAGAUAAUACAUAAGCAACCAAAAGGUUUUAAAUAUACAUAAUCAGAAAUUUUGACAAAAAAAACUUGAUCUGUAUAUCAAAAAAGUAUUGAGUAGUUUCAGUUGAGCUCAGAUCCUCGUUAGCUUAGUGAAGUAACCUGCUAUAGUAAUAUUGGCUUGAUUAAUAUUGUUAAAUUCCCUUUGCAGUUGGAAGAGCUUUGUACCAUUAGCAUGUCCAUAGCUUUGUUCUAGUUUACUCCACCAUUCUCUGGCAGUUGAAGAUUAGAUCACACUCUCAGCAAUAUCUCUACUGAGAGUAUUCAGUAGCCAAGAUAUCAGCCUGUCGUUAUAUCUCUGCCAUUGUAAAAACAAGGGUGAGUCUGAAUUUGGGGAUAAAGAAAAUCUAUUAAUAAAACCAAGUGUAUUCUUGGUUAAAAGAAAAAUCAACACUCCUCUUUUUCAGUAGUUAUAAGAAGUUUCAUCAAAAGUUAUAUUAAUUAGUGUCAUGCUUGGAUUAUAGGAGGAAGAAAGAAAGUAGGGGUGAGUGGAUUUAAUUAGAAUCAAGGAUGCUGAAUUCAUAGGAGUUCCUUUAGUUUCAAAAGAUUUUGGGUCAUCAGAUAUAGUCGUUUGAGAAAACAUUGAAGUGAAAAAAAAUGAAGAGAAGAUUCUUAUAGCACCUGCUCCGAUACCAUGAAAAAGAAGAAGAAUAACAGGAUUUGUAUUUAUUUCUUGUGUAUAUUCUGUAAAUCGUGAUCCGAUAUAUAUACAAAGCAUUACUUCGCAAGAAAUUUAUCCUAUGUAACAGACAUGGAUAAAAAUCUACCCUAUGUACCAAACUUAAUAAUAAAAAGAAAUUAAAAAAUUAUGGGAAAAAGACAAAAAUAACAUCUAAAAUAAACUAAUUCUACAAAAUUAGCACCCAAAUUUUUAAUACCCAUAAAUAGCCACUCGCGAAUUGGGUUUUAAACCCGAUAAAUAGCCUCGUCACUCGCAUAUGUGUAUUAUAUCAUCUUCUUCUCUCAACUUUUCUCCAUUCCUACCAUAUAAUAUGAAUUUCACAUAGAAAUUAGAAAAAAAUAAAAUUCAACCCACCAAAAUUCAAUCAAUUUCACCCCAAUUCCUAAUCUCAGACACCAAAAUUGAACCUUCUAGGGGCUUCAAUCCAAUAGUAGUCUUACAGGGACUAGCUUCCUUUCCUACUGAAUUUCACUCAAGGAUUCCGAAUUCCAAUUUUGUUUCUGUCCGAUUAAUCCGAAUUCAUAUCGGUAACAAUACUUCGACGAAAAACUUGUACACAAAAUUCGACUAUUGCACUGGCAAAGUAACUUCUUCAGUUACCUUUGUCAACCAAAUACCUUGGUAAGGACAAUAUUUUUUCCAGCGAACUAUUCUUUUGGGUUUAUGCUCGUUUUUGUGAUUUUGUUUUCGUCCGAUUAAUCAACAUUCAUAUCGGUAACAAUACGUCGGCGAAAAACUUGUUCACAAAAUUCGACUAUUGCACUGACAAAGUAACUUCUUCAGUUACCUUUGUCAACCAAAUGCCUCGGUAAGUACAAUAUUUUUUUCAGUGAAAUAUUCUUUUGGGUUUAUGCUCGUUUUUGUGAUUUCGUUUCUGUCGUUAAUCAUUUACGUGAUAUUUCUGCUACUACUAUGAUUAUUGAGAUACUUGACACAUGAUUCAGUGAGUUUUCUCUGUUUCUAUCUUUAAGCUUCACUGUAUUUUAAUGGUAGCGUUGUGGAUUUGCAUGCUUAAUUUGAAGUCGACAAAGUUAUUGGUGUAGGACAUAAAUUGAUCAAAACUUUCAAUGGAGGUCUAUGCUUGCACAAAUUUUAUAUGUAAAAGGUGUAUUUAUAUGAUAUAUAUACUGUAUCAACGUGGUAUAAAAGUGUAUUAAUGCGGUAUCAAAGUGUAUCAAUGUAGUAUAAAAGUAUAUCAAUGUUGUAUAAAAGUGUAUUAAUAUGGUAUAAAAGAGUACCAAUUAGGAAUAGGAACUGAAUGUGCUUGCAUAGAAUUUCCUUUCUCUUUUUUAAAAAGUGUAUCAAUAUAAUAUAAAAGUGUAUCAAUUUGAUAUAAAAGUAUAUCAAUUGAUUAUAGAGACUGCAUGUACCAAAUUAGGCCAAAUGGCUGAAAAAAGGAUUAGUUUAGCCGACUGGACAACCCAUGUCCACCUUUUCAGAUGGGGGCCAUUUUUUUUUUUAAAUAGUUAUACCAUGUCCUUUUUCCUAUCUAUUUAUACUAGUACAAUGUCUAAUCUGUCCCUAUACAUUAUUCUAGAAAUAAGGGAAUAAAUCCUAUUAGAGAGAAAGUCACAGCUGGACAAUUUUCAAUCGAUAUAUGCUAAUUUUCAAUAAUUUGUCUAUGUAGAUGACACAAUCUUUUUUUGCUCAGGUCAUAAAGGUUCAGUGAAAAAAAUGAUGAGGGUACUACAUGAUUAUGAGAAAGUAUCUGGCCAGUUAAUCAUCCUUUCUAAGAGCUACAUAUAUACAUAACAAAGUUUCUAUAACAGAUAAGCACAAACUGAGAAGAUUAACAGGCAUUGAUGUAGGACAUCUCCUAUUCACAUACCUAGGAUGCCCAAUUUUCUAUAGAAGGCAGAAGAAGAUAUAUUUUGAGGAGAUCAUAAGGCAUUACAGGAUGUUAACUUAUAGGGGAAGGUAUGUAUUAUUAUGUAAUGUCCUGUAAUCAAUGACCAUGUAAUCAAUGACCAUAUAUCUGAUAUUUGUAAUGAACCCUCCGAAAGGUGUUAUUGAUGAAAUACAUAGGCUGAUAGCUAGGUUUUUUUGGGGUAAAAUAGGAGGUUCAAAAGAGAAGCAAUGGGCCACAUAGGAUGAUUUGUGCUAUCCAAAGACAGAAAAGGAAAUUGGCUUUCGAUCUUUGCAUACAGUUUCUGAUGCUUUGUUGGCAGUGGAAUUUCAAAACAUCUAUAGACUUUAUGUGGAGCCACUUUAUGUGGAACAAGUAUUGCAAGAAAAAACAUCCUGUAUUUCCACAAGGUUUUGAAAUUUCACAAGUUUGGAGAAAAACAAUACAGGUUAGGAAAAAAUAGAACACUAUAUCUUUUGGCAGAUUAAUAAUGGAGUUGUCAGCUUUUGGUUUGACAACUAGACUCAGUUAGACACUCUAUAUUUCACUGAUGAAGAAAAUAAUAUUGAGAAGGAGAUAGAAGUCACAUAAUUUAUAAUAGAAGAUGGUUCCUGAAAUGUGGAAAAGCUGAAAGAGUAUAUUUCAGAAGAGAGAAUACAACACAUAAAGGAUACCAUCAAAUCAUAUAAAAAUGAGAUAGACAGGGACAAAGCUUGGUGGAGGCCUACUUCAGAUAGUAAAUUCAGUAUCAAAGAUACACAUGAGGUAUUAAGGAAGAAAAGAAGGACCAAUGAGGAGUGCAAAUUGAUCUAGAACAAAACUUUGCCUACAAAGUUACGUUUCUUUUCAUGGAGAGCUUUGAAGGGAAGGAUACCUACAGAUGACAAUCUUGCUAAACUAAGGAUUCAUAUAGUAUCAAGGUGUUAGUGCUGUGAGAAACCCAAACAGAAAACUAUGGAACACUUAUUUCUAAAAACUCCCAUAACUACUAAGUUAUGGAAGCAGUUUGCUAAUUUUCUAGUUAUUAAAAUUGAAAGAGCAUAAUUACCACUUGUGAUCAGAAUGUGGUGGUUUAAAGAAGCACCCACAAAAUUACAGCAAAUCUACAGGGAGUUACCAGCAAUUAUUAUAUGGGUUUUGUGGGAAAAGGAGAAACAAACUGAAGCAUAGAGACAUUGCUCAAAUAAGUGAUAAAGUUAAAAUUCCCAUUGAUAAAGGAUACAGGGAACAAUUGGGCAGAUUUGGUGACCUAGUUCAAGAGAUAUAAACCAAGGUUGUAUUGCUAUGCAGUGAAAUGGACACUAUCCACAUAGGAGAGGUUAAAGUACAAUACAGAUGGUGCCUCUAAGAGAAAUCUAGGACAAGGAGCAUAUGGAUUUAUUGUGAGAAGAGAUGAUAGAAACUUAAUAUAUGCUCAAGAAGGUGGGCUGGGCAUUACUACUACUAUGAUAGUAGAGAUGACAACAAUUUUGAAGGCAGUAAGAUUUUGCGCAUUGAGGAAUUUUAGGGACAUGGAAAUAGAAUCAGAUUCUUUGGCUUUGGUUAAUAUUGUAAGAAAUGUGUGACAGAUCCCAUGGGAAAUGAUUGAAGCAAUAGAAGAAAUAAGAAACCUGAUGUCUAAUAUAAAUGCUACAAUCACAUACAUUUACAGGGAGGAGAAUACAUUUGUAGAUUAUCUAGCUAAUCUAGCUACUCAAUCAGAACAUACAAAAACAUUCAACAAAUUUUAGCAAUUACCACCAGUAGAAAGGAAGAUUUUUAAUAUGGAUAAGAUGCAAAUUCCUAAUUUGAGAAUUAACUAAGAUGAUAAAUCUAUAUUAAAAAAUGUUCGGCCUAUGCAACACAUGCAAAAUGUAGAUUCUGAGCAGCAAAGGCAUUUACAGUGAACUAAAUCCUUAUACAAGGACCAACACUGCUGCUAAAUACGAUAGCCAAAUCUAUGUUAGCUCACAAAAACUAUCACCAAAAACAAAGGAGAAAUGCGUCAUAUAUGUCCAUUGGCCUAGGAGGUCUGUCAUAAGCCUAUAUUAGCAAUGGAUCCAUCAUCUUCAAUGCAUAUCUAAUAGAAAAAGGAAGAGAAGAUUUUUAUCUUAGAUUCAAAGUGAUAAUGAAGAGCAGAAAGGUUACUUAUGGAUGAACUGCAAACCUUGGACGUUUCCCCUUUCUCUUUCACUCCAGAAACAACCCCACCACCUGAAACUUGGUAGAGUUUGUAAAGUGGAUAGGUGUAAAGACAAAUCUCUACAAAUGUUACCUUUGUUUUUUGACAACCUUUUUUGUGAAAAAGACACACAACACAAGGAUGGAACAAUAUUUAUCACCCACAGAAGAAGUAGAAUCAGUUUGGAAUUAAGGCGGCAACAUCUUAGAAGCACGUUGAAGGUGGAGAGGCGACCAAAGAUGGAAAUGGAAAUAAUAGGAAUUUCUUACAUUUUUAUAGCUAGGUCAAAUAGGAAAUUGGGCUUGACCUGCAAUAAUUUUCAGGAUUUGUUUUCUUUUUGGCAUUGGGCCAUAAACUUUUUUUGUUUUAUUGAUUAUUAAUAAAAUGGCUGCAAAGCCACAAAAAUUUCC